GUCACGUGUUCCGCUUCGUUGGAGGAGGUGGACACCUGUCUUGGAAUCUUGGCUGACCAGCUCUCCUCCCUGCGCCCGGGACUGGACUGCGCUAGGACGUGGAGGCCUCCACCCGGAUUGCGAGCUUUACUCGCAGUGUGGAAGGUGUUGCCCAUUUCAUCUCCACAGCUUUGCCGACCCUGAUCGCUCGUUUCGGUGGCCUGGUGGGUUCACCCCAGGCUGAGCCAGCGCCUACGCACCUCUGAGCAGAGCCUUUGUGGUAGUUAACAACGAACGAUAUACAAUAACUCCGUUUAGUGAGCGCAGACUAUGCGAGAAACGCUACACACACUAUCUUAUUUAAGCCUCAUAGUUCUUAUGAGGCUGGAGUGCAAUGGCAUGAUCUUGGCUCAGUGAAAACCUCCACCUCCUGGGUUCAAGCGAUUCUCCUGCCUCAGCCUCCUGAGUAGCGGGGAUUACAGGUAUGCAUCACUACACCCAGCUAAUGUUGUAUUUUUAGUAGAGACAGGGUUUCUCCAUGUUGGUCAGGCUGGCCUCAAACUCCCGACCUCAGGUGAUCCACCCACCUUGGCCUCCCAAAGUGCUGGGAUUAUAGGCAUGAGCCACCACGCCCAGCCACUUUUUAUUUUUUUAAGACAGGGUCUCAUUCUGUCACCCAGGCUGGAGUGCAGUGGCAACAUAAUAGUUCACUGGAGCCUUGAACUCCUUGGUCUCCUACUUUAGGUACACGCAACUACACCCAACUAAUUGUUUUUUAUUUGUUGUAGAGAUGGGGGAUCCCACUAUGUUGCCCAAGCUGGUCUCAAACUCCUGGGCUCAAGCGAUCCACCUGCCUCAGCCUCCCAAAGGGCUGAGAUUAGCAGUAUGAGAUGAGACACUAUACCUGGUGGCUUUGUUUUUUCAAAAUAAAUAACUUUCUAGAAUGGAAGGGGCUUAAUGAAAAUAAAUAAAUAAAUAAAUAACAUAAAUGGCUAGUUUUGCUUUCCAUAAGCAAAUGAAAUACAGUUGUUAAGAACAAGUAAAUUAGAUAACUGUGAAUGGGAUAAGCAUCUACAAAUAAACUUGUCAUAGUUUCCAAAACUUUUUCAGUAAUUUAAAAUCUUAAAGUCAUGCUGUAUUAAAUGAAGUAAUAGAUAAUUAUAAAUUGUCCGCAUUGGCUGAGCACAAUGGCUCAUGCCUGUAAUCCCAGCACUUUGGGAGGCUGAGACGGGAGGAUUGUUUGAGCCCUGGGCAACAUAGUGAGACCCCAUCUCUUUUUUUUUUUUUUGAGAUGGAGUCUUGCUCUGUCGCCCAGGCUGGAGUGCAGUGGCGUGAUCUCGGCUCACUGCAAGCUCUGCCUCCUGGGUUCAUGCCAUUCUCCUGCCUCAGCCUCCUGAGUAGCUGGGACUGCAGGCACCUGCCACCAUGCCCAGCUAAUUUUUUGUAUUUUUUAGUAGAGACAGGGUUUCACCGUGUUAGCCAGGAUGGUCUCGAUCUCUUGACCUCAUGAUAUGCCCACCUCAGCCUCCCAAAGUGCUGGGAUUACAGGCGUGAACCACCAUGCCUGGCCCGAGACCCCAUCUCUUAAAAAAAAAAAAAAGUAAAAUGUCUGAGUUAUUUCUAAGUGAAAAUACUGAAACAUUAAUUAUUAAACUUAAGUUUAUAUACUUUGAUGUCUUUUUUUCAUUUUUCCCACUUAUUCUCAAGUUCUGUUUUUUUUUCAUUUUUUUGAUGUCUUGUUUCAUAUGAUAUAGAAAGCUAAAUAUAUUUGGAUUCAUUAAUAACACUUUGAGAAAACAUAUCUUUUUAGAAAUUAUUAAGUGGCUGUUGUCUGCAAAUACUGAUAUAAAACAAUUCAAAAUUACUGACUUCCUGGGUUGUCACUAGAAAUUAGGGUUACUAAGAGUUAAAAUUCAAAGUAAUAUAUGUAAUUAAAACUACUGAAAGUAAGAAAUAAUUUUGUGGCCGGGCGCGGUGGCUAAUGCCUGUAAUCCCAGCACUUUGGGAGCCAAGGCGGGCGGAUCACGAGGUCAGGAGAUUGAGACCAUCCUGGCUAACACGGCGAAACCCCGUCUCUACUAAUAAUACAAAAAAUUAGCAGGGCGUGGUCGUGGGUGCCUGUAGUCCCAGCUACUAGGGAGGCUGAGGCAGGAGAAUGGUGUGAACCCGGGAGGCGGAGCUUGCAGUGAGCCGAGAUCGCGCCACUGCACUCCAACCUGGGCGACAGAGCGAGACUCCAUCUCAAAAAAUAAAUAAAUAAAUAAAUAAAUAAUUUUGUAUACAGAGUACGAUAAAAACAACAUAUCUUUUUAGUGAGGAAAAGUUAAGUCAUGAGUAUAUGUGCUUUUGUUUAAAAAUUUUUGUUUUGGCUGGGCACGGUGGCUCACGCCUGUAAUCCCAGCACUUUGGGAGACUGAGGCGGGUGGAUCACAAGGUCAGGAGAUCGAGGCCAUCCUGGCUAACACGGUGAAACCCCAUCUCUACUAAAAAUACAAAAGAAAUUAGCUGGGCAUGUAGUCCCAGCUACUCGGGAGGCUGAGGCAGGAGAAUGGUGUGAACCCAGGAAGCGGAGCUUGCAGUGAGCCGAGAUUGCGCCACUGCACUCCAGCCUCAGCGACAGAGCGAGACUCCAUCUCAAAAAAAAAAAAAAAAUUGUUUCUAGCCACUGAAACAAUAACAAAAAAAAUGAAAAACUUUUGCCUAAUUAAAGGUUAUUUAAAGAUUGUCUUAGAAUAAAUAUAUGGCACUUUGGGAGGCCAGGGCGGGUGGAUCACCUGAGGUCAGGACUCUGAGACUAGCCUGGCUAGCAUGGUGAAACCCCAUCUCUAUUAAAAAUACAGAAAAAAAAAAAAUUUAGCUGGGCGUCGUGGUACGUGCCUGUAGUCCCAGCUGCUUGGGAAGCUGAGGCAGGAGAAUCGCUUGAACCCGGGAGGGGGAAGUUGCAGUGAGCCAAGAUUGCACCACUGCACUCCAGCCUGGGUGGCAGAGUGAGACUCUGUCUCAAAAAAUAAAAAUAAAAAUAAAUGUAUGGAAAAAUGUAUACAAAAAUAAACGGAUAUAAAAAGUUGGAGAAAAAAUUUAAAAACUGUAAGAGGUUAUAAAAGGCUUAUGGAUUUCUUAUGUGGUCAAAGUUGACUGAGACUGGAUCUAUUUGU
rnacentral:lncRNA from 10 species